rnacentral:rRNA from 1 species
AUGGCGACAACUUUGAAGUCCUCCAUCAUCUUCUCUGCUAGUGUAUUCAUGCUCCUUUCCAUGGCCAUAACCGCUAAGGCCAAUGUCUCUAGUGGUGCAAGGGCCAAGGUGACCAACCUCAUGAUGCAAGCAUGCAAGAAUGCAUCAGCCUACAGUCGUGAUGGCGACCUCCGUAGCGUCACACAGGAAUUUUGCUUAUCGACCCUGCAAUCGGACAAUCGGAGUGUUGAUGCUAAGGACCACCUUGAACUGGUGCUCAUCACGAUUGACAUCCUUAAAGGCCGCCUCACUACUGCAACUCACAAUGUCGAGAAAAUGCUAGAACAUUCUAAGAAAGGCACAAUGACUGCACGCGACCUCAGUUUAUGCCAUGAGCACUAUGAUACCACAGUGAAAAUCAUCAACAUGUGUGAUGCCAUGGUCAUGGACUAUCGCGCGGACAAGGGCGGGAUAAAGCCCUUUCAGCUUCCUCGUUGUGUUGAUAGAGCGGGCUUCCCCGUCUACGAUUGUAGGAUCAUUAUGCUCAUAGAUAUGCCAUGGGCGGAUGCCCUGAUAAAAGAAAAUGAUGAAAUGACCAUGCUGGUCAACCUCAACUAUGCCUUGCUAGCACCAUAUGAUGGUAAUGCUUAA